AGCCGCUUUAACCAUUCUUUACCGUCACAACAUGACAAACUCUAAGUGAACAGAGGAACGUUUCACAUAUCAUAACAAUGAUGCACGCUGCUGGAAACCACUGAGGAAAGUUUUAUAGCCACGACUAUGGUUCAUCGUUUAAUCGCCCAUGCCAAGCUAAAGGGAUGUUUCUUAAAGAUGGGAAGUCUUACACUUUUCAAAUCCUUUAGAAGAAAAUGUACGCAAACUUCAAAGCCAUACUGGCAAAAAAUAUGAAGAGUAAAACGGCUGCUAUUUUUAGGUUACACUAUUUUUUUUU